CCCGGGCCUUGUACACACCGCCCGUCACACCAUGGGAGUGGGUUUUACCAGAAGUAGGUAGUCUAACCGCAAGGAGGACGCUUACCACGGUAGUAUUCAUGACUGGGGUG
rnacentral:rRNA from 1 species